rnacentral:rRNA from 1 species
UAAUACGUAGGGUGCGAGCGUUAAUCGGAAUUACUGGGCGUAAAGGGUGCGCAGGCGGAUAUAUAAGUUAGAUGUGAAAUACCCGAGCUUAACUUGGGAGGUGCAUUUAAGACUGUGUAUCUAGAGUUUGUCAGAGGGGGGUAGAAUUCCAAGUGUAGCAGUGAAAUGCGUAGAGAUUUGGAGGAAUACCGGUGGCGAAGGCGGCCCCCUGGGAUAGAACUGACGCUCAUGCACGAAAGCGUGGGUAGCAAACAGG